rnacentral:rRNA from 1 species
CAGUAGCCGCGGUAAUACGGAGGGUGCAAGCGUUAAUCGGAAUUACUGGGCGUAAAGCGUGCGUAGGCGGCUUCUUAAGUCGGAUGUGAAAUCCCUGAGCUUAACUUAGGAAUUGCAUUCGAUACUGGGAAGCUAGAGUAUGGGAGAGGAUGGUAGAAUUCCAGGUGUAGCGGUGAAAUGCGUAGAGAUCUGGAGGAAUACCGAUGGCGAAGGCAGCCAUCUGGCCUAAUACUGACGCUGAGGUACGAAAGCAUGGGGAGCAAACAGGAUUAGAGACCCCAGUAGUCCCUGUCUCUUAUAC